AUCUCACAUAUUAACAUGGUAGAGCGUGAGACUCUUAAUCGCAGGGUUGUGGGUUCGAGCCCCAC